GAUGAACGCUGGCGGCGUGCUUAACACAUGCAAGUCGAACGGAAAGGCCCAAGCUUGCUUGGGUACUCGAGUGGCGAACGGGUGAGUAACACGUGGGUGAUCUGCCCUGCACUUCGGGAUAAGCCUGGGAAACUGGGUCUAAUACCGGAUAGGACCACUUCUUGGAUGUUGUGGUGGAAAGUUUUUUCGGUGUGGGAUGAGCUCGCGGCCUAUCAGCUUGUUGGUGGGGUAAUGGCCUACCAAGGCGUCGGCGGGUAGCCGGCCUGAGAGGGUGUACGGCCACAUUGGGACUGAGAUACGGCCCAGACUCCUACGGGAGGCAGCAGUGGGGAAGAUUGCACAAUGGGCGCAAGCCUGAUGCAGCGACGCCGCGUGGGGGAUGACGGCCUUCGGGUUGUAAACUCCUUUCGCUAGGGACGAAGCGUUUUGUGACGGUACCUGGAGAAGAAGCACCGGCUAACUACGUG
rnacentral:rRNA from 1 species